rnacentral:lncRNA from 1 species
CGGGCGAAGGCGAGCAGCCCCCGCGCGCCCACAGCAAGGAGCUCCGGCUGGAGGCCACCCUCACCGCCCUCAAGGAACAGCUGUCUCGCUUGAGGAGACAGGAUGUCGGCUUGAAAAGCCACCUGGAUCAGCUUGACCAGCGAAUAAGUGAGCUGAAACUGGAUGUCAGUAAGACCUCCAGUGAAUACUUGGACAGCGACAGCCGCCCCAGCUCAGGCUUCUACGACCUGAGCGAUGGUGGUUCUUGCUCACUCUCCAAUUCUUGUACCUCUGUGUACAGUGAGUCCAUCUCCUCCUCCCACACCAGUCUUUUGCCCAGCUGUCAACACCCUAAAGCGAGGCUCAGCGUGUUUGAUUACCGACCCAAGUCUGCAGAUGAAACUACUGUGCACAACACCAGCUUCCAACAGCAGGGAACCUAUGUCAGCGAUGGAUGUCGGAUUACAGCUAGCACGGACGUUUCUGGGACUCCUGCCAGGUCCAGACCGAGGCCAGUUUCCACAGGUGACUUGGAAAGACUCAUUCCAGCAGAUGCUAGAUUUCAGAAAGAGACAGAUCCCAAAUCCUCAUCGCCUCUGUGCCAUGCAGACUUGCACUUGCUCAGCGUGGACCCCAAGUUCCAGAAUGACUUGGUCUCCAAGAAUGGCAUUGAUGUGUACCCUUACCCAAGCCCCCUUCAUGCAGUGGCUUUAC